GGGUCAAUGAUGAGACCUCAUAUGGACCUGAAGAGACAUUAUGACUUAACAAUCAUGCUCAGUAGGAUUAUGCUGAGGCCC
ensembl:snoRNA SNORD115 Small nucleolar RNA SNORD115